rnacentral:misc_RNA from 1 species
AAGUCGUAACAAGGUUUCCGUAGGUGAACCUGCGGAAGGAUCAUUACCACAGAGCUGCACCGGGAGGGACGCCAACGGGCCCAACAGUCGGAGGGAGCCCGACUCUGGCGCGCAUGCGCCAGUUAGGCCUAUAUGCUAGUUGAGCUGGCGGUUUGCGGAACUGGCAACCGACGUCUGGCUCCGGCCGGACGACCCUCGGCCGUACGCCCAGUCCUUCCCCGGAGGCAACCCACACCCCUCCGAGUACGAUUUCCCGUUGCUUCCGCGGCGCGCGCGUGCAUGCGUGGCCCGCGGGUGGCGCUCAAGCAAACAACUGUAGCAUCGUCGUGCCUUUGCAGUCUGAACAUGCAUAUCGUGAACGUUAAAACUUUCAACAACGGAUCUCUUGGUUCUC